GACUGUCCAGAGAAUGGGGAUAGUUGACUCAUGACAUCUGUUAUGGCCAGGGUGCCCACGAUGAGGGAGAAGGCUGCCCAGAAAAGGCUGCGUUUCCUUUACCAGGAGAGGCUUCUUCUCAUCUCAUGGAGCUUGAUGAUGGCUGGCGCACUGUGAACAUCUCUGACGCAUCCACCCAUUGAUGGUCCCCAGGAGUUCAUGGGAAGAGGAAUGUGAGGGCAGUUGGGAGUGUGGCCUCUGUGACAUUGAAAGACAUAAUCCUUUGUUCCAUGGUUGCUUGGAUGUUCAGAUGGAGAAUGCACUGGACUGAAGGCUGAUUGUAUAUAAAAGCAAAGCUGUUAUAAAGCCAAGUUUUGUGGACAGAAGAGAGUGUUCAUUUUUAUAAGCCAAUAGACCGUGUAUCAGAAAUCCCCUCCGAGGCUGGGCAGAUGACUCAGUAAGCAAAGGGACUUACUACCCAGCCUGGUGACUUUAGUUUGAUGCCCUGAACCUUCACAAAAGUGAAGGAGACCAUCGACACCAUAAAGUGUUCUUCUGAACUUCACAUGUGUGCACCAUGACAUGGAACUAC
rnacentral:lncRNA from 1 species